UCACAACCUCCUUGAGUAAGCGGA
rnacentral:miRNA from 2 species